UGUCGCCACAUGUGAGUGCUUGCUGCAUUGACGCCGUCCGAUGUAGUUGUUGAAUCGUGUGUACGCUGUGCCGAGAGAAAUUGUGGUGCAUUUUGUAUGCAUUGAGAAUCACAAAACCCCUGGGACCGCGUAAUGUAGCCCGCAGUAUCCUUCGUGUGGUGCGCCGAUGUCGAAGAUAUAACCCUUCGCGCUUCCUUUGUUCCGGGCUCAUGAACAGGAUCUCCUCCUCUGGCACUGUCGCAUCGUAUCGCGCUGUACGGAAGAAUUUGGUGAAAGUUGUGCUCUUACGUCCUGUAGUUGAUCCGUAAUUCAACAGUGUGUGCGCCGGAAGGACCGUUGGUGCAGUCGAUGCCACGGCACCUGCGACACUAAAAGGAGCGUUUUCCGAGUACGCUUAGAAAGGGAUGGCAAGAUUUUGUGAACCAGAGGCACCUCCACAUAUGCACCUGCGGCACUUCUGCAGCCUCAACAGCACGGAAAAGUACCUGAUGUGCAUGCUGUGACAAGCUGCUGUAGGUAUGGCUGGACCAGGAGAAGUGUAAGCAGACCAUGCUAUGUUGCUGAUCUGCGCUGAUCUCCACAUCCAAGUUGGUCCCGCGACAGUUGGGCACCAUUGUGCCUUGCUUCAUUGACAAGGUGAUAUAAUAUGGUGGCCUGCUCGCUCUCACCCAAGCAACCCACUCCAGCGGUCUUCUCUCGGCAGACUGGAUGCAUCGAAAUACCGUUAGAAGGUCCAAUAAACAGUGCUUGGGACAUUUAUGACAUGCUUUUUUUUAAGCCGGAUGACUUCAGGCUUAAUAAAAGCUCAAGUUGGUGUACAGAAAUACCUAUGUAAAGUAUACUUGUCUUUUUCACUUACAAGUA